CCCUUAGAUGUUCUGGGCCGCACGCGCGCUACACUGAUGCAUUCAACGAGCCUAGCCUUGACCGAGAGGUCCGGGUAAUCUUUGAAACUGCAUCGUGAUGGGGCUAGAUUAUUGCAAUUAUUAAUCUUCAACGAGGAAUGCCUAGUAAGCGUGAUUCAUCAAAUCGCGUUGAUUACGUCCCUGCCCUUUGUACACACCGCCCGUCGCUCCUACCGAUUGAGUGUGUUGGUGAGGAGCUCGGAUUGGCAGCAGGUGGUGGUUCGCCACCGCCUAUUGCUGAGAAGUCCUCCAAACCGCCCCACUUAGAGGAAGGAGAAGUCGUAACA
rnacentral:rRNA from 1 species